rnacentral:rRNA from 1 species
AGUGAACGCUGGCGGUAGGCCUAACACAUGCAAGUCGAACGGCAGCACAGUAAGAGCUUGCUCUUACGGGUGGCGAGUGGCGGACGGGUGAGGAAUACAUCGGAAUCUACUUUUUCGUGGGGGAUAACGUAGGGAAACUUACGCUAAUACCUCAUACGACCUACGGGUGAAAGCAGGAGAUCUUCGGACCUUGCGCGAUUGAAUGAGCCGAUGUCGGAUUAGCUAGUUGGCGGGGUAAAGGCCCACCAAGGCGACGAUCCGUAGCUGGUCUGAGAGGAUGAUCAGCCACACUGGAACUGAGACACGGUCCAGACUCCUACGGGAGGCAGCAGUGGGGAAUAUUGGACAAUGGGCGCAAGCCUGAUCCAGCAAUACCGCGUGAGUGAAGAAGGCCUUCGGGUUGUAAAGCCCUUUUGUUGGGAAAGAAAAGCAGCAGGUUAAUACCCCGAUGUUCUGACGGUACCCAAAGAAUAAGCACCGGCUAACUUCGUG